UACGUAGGGUGCAAGCGUUAAUCGGAAUUACUGGGCGUAAAGCGUGCGCAGGCGGUGAUUCAAGACAGUUGUGAAAUCCCCGGGCUCAACCUGGGAACUGCAUCUGUGACUGCAUUGCUGGAGUGCGGCAGAGGGGGAUGGAAUUCCGCGUGUAGCAGUGAAAUGCGUAGAUAUGCGGAGGAACACCGAUGGCGAAGGCAAUCCCCUGGGCCUGCACUGACGCUCAUGCACGAAAGCGUGGGGAGCAAACAGG
rnacentral:rRNA from 1 species